rnacentral:rRNA from 1 species
AGAGUUUGAUCAUGGCUCAGGAUGAACGCUAGCGGCAGGCUUAACACAUGCAAGUCGAGGGGCAGCGGGGUGUAGCAAUACAUCGCCGGCGACCGGCGCACGGGUGCGUAACACGUAUGGAAUCUGCCCUGUACUGGGGAAUAGCCCUCCGAAAGGAGGAUUAAUACCCCGUAAUAGCUUGAGUGGCGUCACUCGGGUUUGAAAGCUCCGGCGGUACAGGAUGACCAUGCGCACGAUUAGCUAGUAGGUGAGGUAACGGCUCACCUAGGCUACGAUCGUUAGGGGGCCUGAGAGGGUUAUCCCCCACACUGGUACUGAGACACGGACCAGACUCCUACGGGAGGCAGCAGUGAGGAAUAUUGCGCAAUGGAGGAAACUCUGACGCAGCCAUGCCGCGUGCAGGAAGACGGCCCUACGGGUUGUAAACUGCUUUUAUCAGGGAAGAAACCCCGGGACGUGUCCCGGGUUGACGGUACCUGAGGAAUAAGCACCGGCUAACUCCGUG